AUUAAGAGUCUUUUAUGGUUUGUUUCCCCAAAGACAUUUUCAGUGAGAGUUCAGGAUCCACACUAAAGACUCUGCAGUGUGGGAUGGCAACCAACCCAGAAAGCUCAGCUGCAGAUGACAAGCUGUGGGAAUACGUCCCCGGAAGGACUGAACCUGCACGUGGGCAGGUGAAGACCGGCACCCCACUAGUAACAACCACCUGGGCCCAGAUAUUCUGAUGCUUGUGCUUUUCUUUUUGGCGUCACUUGCAAAAUGCAUCCUCUUGGAGUUGUAAAUUAUGUAAGAAAAUAUUAGGUAACUAUGGAACUUGAGGAGGAAGUCAAGGAAAGGAGUGUGGAUUUUCUGCCAUUUGGACAGGUGGGGGUUCUUUUGAACAAUUGAACAAUUUUUUGAUGCCUUUUUCUAUGGGCUGUGUUUUUGGUUUUUAAGGUUCUGAGUGGAAACGUCCAGGAAAUCACAAAAUUGCAAAGGAAAUGAUGAAGCCCCACUGUACAGACUUGCCUUUGGAGGAUUGCACAAUCCCAUCAUUCUUGAGCAAAAAUCUCCUCCUGCCCUUUGAUGCAGGAGAGAGAGAGCCCUAUUUCCAAGAUCCAACACAGCAGAAACCAGGAUGAGUAGCUGCCCCUUCCUUUCUGACUGUAGUGGGUUGGAUAGGGAAUGUGACUUAUUUCCAUUUUCAAGGGUUGGCCUGCAGGCCUGGAGUCUGAGAGUAAGCAGUCUUUUUAAUCUGCAAGAAGGACCAGCUUCAUGAAAGCAGGAUUGCCAUUGUGAAACUAGAUGCAAGAUUUGAGAAUUAAUUCUGACCUAGUGAUACAGUCAUAAAUAAACUAUUAAUAGCAUGACUUCCAUUUUGUUCAGUAACUUUAUAUCUCUGAACAGAAAGGUCACAUUGUUUUGCUCUCUAGUUGCAUGAAGCAAAGUUCUGGGGUUCUCUCGAUAAACCCACAAGGGAUUCUGUGUGAUGAUGAGAGCUGGAUUUUUGUGCUUUUUUGGGCAGAAUUUUCAAUAGCGUGUUUCCUGGGCAUUCUCGAUCAUGAUUUAGAGCCAGCACUUUGGCCAUUUUGUGGGGAUGUCCAAAUCUAUACAUGAAGAGGAAGUGGUCCCGGGUUGAGAUAAAAUCCUGCAUUAUAUGGGCUGCAUGAACCCAAUUUGACCACUUGACAUUUUGAGUCUAAAGAAUCUUUCAAUUUCUCAGACUCUGGCAGGAACAGGAGAACAUCUUGGAUGUUUCUAAAAUUCAAUGACCUCUUUAAUUCAUUCCCCUUGAAGGAAUAGUUAAAUUUCUGGACCUCAGUUUUCCAAGGCUUUCCAGAAUGGAUAUGUGCCAUCAGCUCCCCCUGCAGGUCUGAAUCUUUCCUGCCAGGAAAUUCCUGGACGUCCACCAUGAAAAUGGAUUUUGGAGAGAAUCUAAAUCACGUUUCACAGAUGGCACACUUCAACUGCUUAUAGUCGACCCACCUGUCUGCUGGGAGAUGUACGUUCUGGAAAAGCACCUAGGUCUGAUCUUACACGUACAUAAUAUGCUGCAGGUAAAACACAGAGCCGAACAGGAAUUCCAGGGCCCAGUGAGUGGGUUCCUUGCAUAACAUGAAUUUCUUAAUACUCUAUUCUCUCUCUCCUUUGUAAGCACCAUGGCCUUUUGGUAGAUUUAUUACAGGAAAAAUUCCCUCUGUAAGACCUGUGCGCUAAGAAAUGGCAUGCAUGCUCAUGGUGUGUGAAGGCCACAUACGAUUUCUCAAAGAGUUUUGGAUUGUCCCAAAUUUUAUAUGCUAGGUUUUUUUUAUUCAUUCACUCAUUCAACAAAUAUUGUGGUAGGUAUUGUGCUAUGUGACUGAUAUGUGAUAGAUCUUGUUGUAGGCACCCUGGAUAAGUCCGGGACCCAGAGAGACUAAGAUCCUAUCCUCAUGGAGCUUAAGUACCAGUGGGGGAGACACAUAAUAAACAAGUAUAUGAAUAGAUGUAUAAUUUCAUGGGGAGGUAGAAAAUAAAGCUGGCUAAAGGGUUGGAAUGACCAGUGGGAUAUUGUCUUUUUGAGAGAGUUGGUUAAGGUUGGUUCAGUGAGAAAGUUGGAUAAAGUGGGACAACAAUUCUUUCCAACAUGUGAGUGAAGAGCAUGUCAGGAGACCAAAAGCAAGUGCAAGUGCCCUAGGGCGGGAAUGAGCUUGUGUGUUCCAGGAAUAGCAUGAAGGCCUUUGUGACUAGAACAGAGGGGGUCUAAGGAGACAGUGAUAGGAGAUGAGAUCCAAAAAGUGGGUAGAGUCCUUUGUAUAGGAUCUUACAGAAUAUGGUAGGGAGUUUGGGUUUUAUUAUGAGAUGAGCAGCCAUUGGAGCUCUUUGAGUAGGAGAAUGAUGAUGUGAUCUGCUUUGUGGUUUUAAAGCCUCACUAUGUGGAGAAAAGACUCAAGGAGCAUGUGUGUGGAGACAGACUCAGGCAGGUGGCUGUUGCAGAAGCCCAAGUUUGAGGUGAUGGUGGCCUCGUGGUGGUCAUCACAGUGGUGAGAAGUAGCCAAACUCAGCAUGUGUUUUGAGGGUAGAGCCAUGGGACUUCCUGGUGAACUGGGGGAGAGGGGAGUCAGAGACAGAAAGACAACACAGGACUCCUAGGUGUUUGGCCUCGGGGAACUGGGCAAUUAGCUGAGACUGGGUAGACUGGGGGAGGAACAAGUCUGAGUGGGUGAGUGGAAUCGGGAGUUCUGCUUGGACAAGUGAAGUUGCAGAAACUUAUUAGUCACCAUCUGGAGACGUCGAGCAGACAGCUGGAUCUGUGAGUCUGGAGCACACUCGUGACGCAGGAAUAACCAGGGGAAACUAUGAAAAGAGGAGCUCCACUCUGUAAGACGUGACAUUGCCUUGUCCAUCUGCUCCUUUCUGGGGUCUCUGUUUCCUCAUUUGUCAAAUGAUGGGUUGGGUGGGCUCUCAGGGUCUUUUCCGCUCCUUGAGUAUAAAAUGGGUCAUUAGCAUUUAAACUCAAGGGGCAGCGGGAGUGGGCUGAGCCUGCUGUCACUGGGACAGAAGACCAAACCGAGGCAUAAGACCCGGAGAAGACUGGCAGCUUACCUUAAGAAUCAGAACUGGAAAUUCGUCUUUGCAAAGCAACCCAAGCUGCUGCCUGUUUUGAAAGUAGGGGUGUUGGGGAAGGAAACACUUCAGCUGCAACAGAUGAACUUGCUCAAGGCAACACAGCAUGCCACGGGGGUGGGGCUGUGAACCGGAUCUGCGGGGAAGGGCAGCGAAGGGGCCUACUGUCAUUGCCCUGUCCCCCUUACCUCCAAGACCCAUAGGCAGCACUGGUGUCGCUGGGAGCAUUGCAAAUCAAGAAAGAACAUGCCCAUGGGGGAUUUUGUUUUGUCAUUUGCUUUACUCUUUUUGAUGCUGUCCUAAAUUGCCUGGAAAAUUUUUCAGUUUAUUCUGUUUCGUCUCUCAUUUCUCAGAAGUAGCCCGUAGUGGAAAAAGACAGCAAGCAUUUGUAUUUUGUCUCCCACAUUUAUCAAGUGCUACCACACCUCUCACCACCUCAUCGGAUCAGAGGAACAGCCGGAUGGGCUGGGAAGGUCAUUACCUAAUCCUGUUUCAGAGAUGGCGAAAGCCAGGGGCCAAGAGGGGCCAGGAGGUGAAGCAGUUUGUUCAGACCACAUAAACAACAAAGGGGAUGGACGCAUUUUCAAAUCUAGGUUUUACAAACCCCCAACUAUUUCCUCUUUCCAUCACUCGAUUCAGCAUUCCGAGCCAAGAGGCUUGAAUAGAUUACUUGGCCAAAUUCUCGGACACCGCUGUGGCCCAAUGGAUUCUUUAGUUACUUUCGUUUUUGGAUUGGAAUGUAAUUUUAAAUGACCUUGGUUUAGUUUUUCAUGUUGCUUUAUUAAGCUUCCCUUAUAUUACUAAAGAGUGAGGCCCAUGACACAUCCGAAACCAUGUUUUUGAAGCACUUCAAAUAGAACCAUUAGGCAGUGCGCCACGUUUAGAAAUAUUGGCUUUCUCAUUCUUUUCUAUGAUGAUCCUUGGCACAAGGGAAGAUAAUGACAGCAAUAUCACUAGGAAAGGGGUGAUUAAAAUCUAAGUUCAUGCAUUUUGGCACAUAGGAAGCGUAGGUUGAGGCGGCCAGGGGAUUCAAGUCCAGAAGAGCCUUACGAUUGGUUGCAGUUAGUAUUACCACCUAACAAACUAUCCACACACAGCCCCCACCCAACAGAGAAAGAUUAAAAUGACUGUUCUGCUAUUCUCCCGUAUUCUGUGGUCCAAUGCUUAGACAAGGCAGUGGGAUGGCUCUGCAGCCUGAUCCAGCAAGAUUUCAGGGCUGGAGGUAACUCCAUAGCUGGGGCUGGAAGCCCUAGAAACACUUUACUCACAUGUUUGGUGGUUGAUCCAGCCAUUGGUGGAACCUCAGCUGGAGCAAUUGACUGGAAGAGCAUCAUAUGGCCUUUCCAAGUGUUUGGGCUUCCUCACAGUGUGGAGACUUCUUACAUGGAGACCCAUGGCUCCAAAGGCAAGUGUCCCAGAAAGUAAGGAAGACACUGUCUUGCCUUUUCAAAUUAACCUGGGAAGCCAUGCAUCAUCCAUUUUACACAUUCUGUUGGUUACAGCCAAGUCACAAGCUUGCCUAGAGUCCUAGAGGUGCAUAGGCCCCCCUCUUGACGGAAGGGUGGCAAGGUCAUGUAGGAAAAUCGUGUAAAAUGGAAGGCACUGUUGCAGCCAUCUUUGGAAAAUCUCAUCUGCCAUUCUAGUGGGGAUACGUUACCUUUGGGUUUUCCCAGCAAUAGUGAAGGGACAUGCUCAUCAAACACCAUUAAAGUAUGGCAGGGGUAUGGCUUAUGGCCAGUUACAACCAGUUGGGUUUGAAUCUGCUCUCCCAACCAACCAACCAACCAACCAUCCCAGAAACCAAUCCAGAAACAACCUGGCUAAAGCAACACCUAGUAAGUGGCAGAUACUGGGCUAAGAGGCAAGGAUACAAUUGUGAAUCAAACAGGUCUCUAUCCUUAAAGAGCUCCUGGAUCUUAAGCUAAGGUGCAUAAAACUAACUGGGGUGGAGGUUUAAACUACAGAUUCCUCUCUCCCCUCCCCCAUUCCGAUGCAGUUAGUUCUAGUUGGCACCUAGGACUCUGCAUUGUAAUGAGCCCCUUGGGUGGUUCUGAUAUGAAAGGUGUGAGGAGGGCACUUUGAGACAUAGACCACAGUGGCUUCUGUGCUGUCCAGCUAGCCGCAGCUGGCUUGGCCUCUCCGAUAGGAUCUGAACCUCAGCCCUGGGCUAGGUGGGGCCUCUAAAACUCUCUCAGUUCUAAGUGUAACAGCUGCUCCUUACAUCAGCUCUUCUCAUGUUUUUUAGAUUUAGAAUUUUCUUUACUUCCUUUUAGUCAAUCCUUUGUAACUUCAAUCUCUUGUUAUAGUUAAUAAUUCUAUUAAACUUUGCCUGUUCAAAUUACAAUGUGAUUCCUCUACAAUUGUCCAACAAAUAUUCAUACCCUUUUUCCUGAUAUUUAUGGGGAAAAUAUGUUUUCCUUCUCCGCUGAUGUUGGGCUUGGCCAUGUGACUUGCUUUGACCAAUAGGAUAUGAGCAGAAGGGAGCAUGUACCAGUUCCCAGCCUAGGCCUUAAGAGGCAUCAUCUGUUUCUACUUGCCCUAAGGAUCAACCACCAUUCCUCCAGCCUGGGUCCCCAAACAAGACUGUCCAGCCAAUCCACAGACCUGUGAGAUUGAAGAUGAGUUAUAAACAUUUAAACCACCAACCUUGAGGAGGGGAGGGGCAGGGGAACUGUUACACGGCAUCACUGUGGCGAUAUUUGAUCAGUAUACUAUCUCAGGGGUAGCUGCUGCAAAUACAAGGCAGGACAGGUGGGAGGGGAAAAGAGCAGGUGGGCCUCCAGGAGAUUGGCAGCUGUCCUAGGAGUGGCCAAUGAUACUGUGACAUUCCAGUAUUAGAAUAAUUUUUUUCUUCCUGACAUCAGAACAUGUUCAGCAAACUUUUCAACCAAUAGUACUAGAAUAGCUGGACCUCCGCAAUGUAAAAAAAAAAAAAAAGAAAGAAUAUAGACACAGACCUUACAGCUUUCACAAAUAUUAUCUCAAAACAGAUUAUAGGCCUGAAUAUAAAAUGCAAGACUUUAAGCUUCUAGAAAAUAACAUACGAGAAAAUGAGAUAACCUUGGGUCUGCGACGACUUUUUAGAGACAACACCAAAAGCAUCAUCCGUGAAAGAGAAAAUUGAUCAAUUGGACUUCACUGAAAUUUAAAAUCUCUGCUCUAUGAAAGAUACUGUUAAGGGGCAGGAAAGACAGGGGACACCUGGAUGGCUCGAGCCGAAGAGUGGGCAACUCUUGUCUUAGAGUCAUGAGUUCAAGCCCCAUGUUGGGUGUA
rnacentral:lncRNA from 1 species